rnacentral:rRNA from 1 species
AGUGAACGCUGGCGGUAGGCCUAACACAUGCCAGUCGAACGACAGCACAGUAAGAGCUUGCUCUUACGGGUGGCGAGUGGCGGACGGGUGAGGAAUACAUCGGAAUCUACUUUUUCGUGGGGGAUAACGUAGGGAAACUUACGCUAAUACCGCAUACGACCUACGGGUGAAAGCAGGGGAUCUUCGGACCUUGCGCGAUUGAAUGAGCCGAUGUCGGAUUAGCUAGUUGGCGGGGUAAAGGCCCACCAAGGCGACGAUCCGUAGCUGGUCUGAGAGGAUGAUCAGCCACACUGGAGCUGAGACACGGUCCAGACUCCUACGGGAGGCAGCAGUGGGGAAUAUUGGACAAUGGGCGCAAGCCUGAUCCAGCCAUACCGCGUGGGUGAAGAAGGCCUUCGGGUUGUAAAGCCCUUUUGUUGGGAAAGAAAAGCAGCAGGUUAAUACCCCGCUGUUCUGACGGUACCCAAAGAAUAAGCACCGGCUAACUUCGUG